GAAGUCUUACAUGCAUUUCUAUUUUCAAA
rnacentral:piRNA from 1 species